rnacentral:lncRNA from 1 species
GGAGAUGUGAAUGCCGUUCGUAAAUUGCUAGAUGAAGGCAGAAGUGUAAAUGAACAUACAGAAGAAGGAGAAAGCCUGCUGUGUUUGGCUUGUUCAGCAGGAUAUUAUGAACUAGCACAAGUACUACUAGCUAUGCAUGCUAAUGUUGAAGAUAGAGGGAAUAAAGGAGAUAUAACUCCUCUGAUGGCAGCUUCCAGUGGAGGUUAUUUAGAUAUUGUAAAAUUAUUACUUCUUCAUGAUGCAGAUGUCAACUCCCAGUCAGCAACAGGGAACACUGCACUGACUUAUGCUUGUGCUGGAGGAUUUAUUGACAUUGUAAAAGUGCUUCUUAAUGAGGGUGCAAAU